rnacentral:lncRNA from 1 species
AAAGAGUUAGUGGCAUACUUGUUGAUCUUUAUCCAAGUUGGAGUCUUUCUCUAUGGUGUUGUAAAGUUCUCAUGCUUGUGGGUGGCUAGUUGAGUAUUCUCCUUAAAAUGACAAAAUGUAUUUUCAUUAAAAAUGAAUCAAAAGAAACAUCUUUGUUAUUUUUACCACGAACUACGCAGUUUUGGUCCUCCAUUUCACUUUGUUGGUACGUAGGCAUGAGGCUCGGGAAGUCUUGGCAAACACAAAAAUUAUAAAAAAAAC